rnacentral:rRNA from 1 species
AUGGGUGAUAUAGCAUCGAAGCUCUCUGCAACUGAUUCAUCUCAUGUCCUUGUCUCAAGAACAGUUGACAAAGCAUCUUCUGAGAUGAGGUUUUUUUUCCCAGCUCCGGAUGUACAAUUUGUUUCUGAUUUAUCAAAACAAUUGGUGGAUGAUCGUGGAGAUCGCAAUAUGAACUGCGUAAUAAAUAAGCGAGCUUCCUACAUUUCUGGCCAAACAAUUUAUGGAGAUGCAGUUUUGGCAAAUGUUGGAUACACAAGGAGAGAUACAGAACUUCAAACUGAUCAUGUCAAUCUAUGUACCUAUUACAGGAUUCUUCUGCGAAAAUUACCUGAUGGAAUUUACAAGAUCUCCAAGGACUCGAUUCUUGUGGCAGAGCUUCCGUGUGUUUAUACUCGUACCAGUUGGAAAGGCCCCUCUCCACGAGAUCUCCUUUGUUCUUUCUGUCGCCUCCAGAGGCUAUCAGAACCCCAUUUCGCUGCCAAUGGGGUAAGUGCAUCCUGUAAUGUCUUAGGAACAGCUGUGGGCUCUGAAGAGAUGGGGUCACCAAAAGCAACCGCUGGAGAUCAGUGCGCAAAUGAUGGAAGGAUUGCCAAGGAAAACCCAGACAUGUUCAAGUGCUCUGUCAAAAUAUAUUCAAAGAAGAGGGAGCUUUUACUAGAGUAUUCCACAGAUUAUAGCUGGAGCAAGGAAACUGGUCCUAUUCAGAAUUCUGCGUUGAAGGUCUUGAUUUGGUUCAAUCGUUAUUUUAAGCAGCUGAACACGCCUGUGGAGAAGCUCUAUCUUCCUAAGAGCACUGAUGGCCUCACGAUAUAUCCAAAUAUAUUUUUACAAGAAUUUGCAAUGUGCUUAUCUGUCUAUGGCAAGACAAGUGGUGGUCAUUCAAGAACAUGCAGCGCAGUUGGAUACUUUUCUAUGGAUACAUCAUAUCAGCAGCUUGAAAGCAGUGCAUUUUUUAACAGACGUUGA